AUGCAUGCAAGUCGAGCGAAGCUUUUCAGUAGUUUACUACAGAAAAUGACUGAGCGGCGAACGGGUGAGUAACGCGUGAGCAACCUACCUUAGUUACUGGGAUAGCCCGAGGAAACUCGGAUUAAUACCGGAUAUUCUUAUUAAAUCACAUGAUUUUUUAAGGAAAGGUCAGCCGAACUAAGAUGGGCUCGCGUUCUAUCAGCUAGUUGGUAGGGUAAUGGCCUACCAAGGCUACGACGGAUAGCUGGUCUGAGAGGACGAUCAGCCACACUGGGACUGAGACACGGCCCAGACUCCUACGGGAGGCUGCAGCAGGGAAUAUUGCGCAAUGAGCGAAAGCUUGACGCAGCGACACCGCGUGUGGGAUGACGGAUCUAGGUUUGUAAACCACUUUCAGGAGGGAAGAAAAUGACGGUACCUCCACAAGAAGCCCCGGCCAACUAGUGCCAGCAGCCGCGGUAAUACGUAGGGGGCGAGCGUUGUCCGGAUUUAUUGGGCGUAAAGAGCUCGUAGGCGGUUCAACAAGUCGGUCGUGAAAGUUCAGGGCUCAACCCUGAAAUGUCGAUCGAUACUGUUGUGACUAGGAUACGGUAGAGGUGAGUGGAAUUCCGAGUGUAGCGGUGAAAUGCGUAGAUAUUCGGAGGAACACCAAUUGCGAAGGCAGCUCACUGGGCCGCUAUCGACGCUGAGGAGCGAAAGCUAGGGGAGCAAACAGGAUUAGAUACCCUGGUAGUCCUAGCUGUAAACGAUGGAUACUAGACGUAGGAAUUGGAUUAACGAUUUCUGUGUCGUAGCUAACGCGUUAAGUAUCCCGCCUGGGGAGUACGGUCGCAAGACUAAAACUCAAAGGAAUUGACGGGACCCCGCACAAGCGGCGGAGCAUGCGGCUUAAUUCGAUGAUACCCGUAGAACCUUACCUGGACUUGACAUAUAGGGAAAAGUUAUAGAAAUAUAAUGUGCAUUAGCGCCCUAUACAGGUGGUGCAUGGCUGUCGUCAGCU
rnacentral:rRNA from 1 species